ensembl:misc_RNA Metazoa_SRP Metazoan signal recognition particle RNA
GCCGGGCGCGGUGGCGCGUGCCUGUAGUCCCAGCUACUCGGGAGGCUGAGGUGGGAGGAUCGCUUGAACCCAGGAGUUCUGGGCUGUAGUUUGCUAUGCCGAUCGGGUGUCCGCACUAAGUUCAGCAUCAAUAUGGUGACCUCCUGGGAGUGGGGGACCACCAGGUUGCCUAAGGAGGGGUGAACCAGCCCAGGUCGGAAACAGAACAGGUCAAAACUCCCGUGCUGAUCAGUAGUGGGAUCGCGCCUGUGAAUAGCCACUGCACUCCAGCCUAGGCAACAUAGCGAGACCCCGUCUCUU